UGUUGCCAUGGUCACCUGUGUAUUACAUUGCGCUACCUACGGGGAGCGAGAGGGGACGUGUUCACCUUGAGGGCAGAAGUCCGAACACGGGUGAAAUGUGACCACAGCAUCCCCUGGGGUAAAAUGGGAUGUGACCGCUGCUCCCAGAAAGGAAACACAUAGUCAGCUGGACGAUCAAGUGAUUCUCCUCAGCAAAACAUCUCUGGAAUAGGUCUGAGGGGUGAGGUGUGGUGAGGUGGAAGCUAGGCUGGGAUGGGCGCGUAUCGAUCCCCGUGUGUGGCGUCCGUAUCGACGGAGAGAUGUGUUUUCGGGAAGUGAUCUUGGCAGGGCCAGACAGACGGCCAGACAGACGGCGGGUAGACGAACAAGCAGACAGGCACCUGAGCAGGACAGGACACAUGGGGCACCAUGUUGGCACCAUCAGCCCUGCUGCAUUGACACUAGAGACCCUGGUAUACUGUAGAAAGGUCAAAGGUGACAUCUCCUGAGCGGUACCUGGGAGCUCACAGUGAUUCAGUCCUUUCAAACAUUUAAUGUGAAGGUAUAAGCAUUACGCUAUGACAUAUAGGGUAAGGAAUCUAUACAACCUAGAUUCUAAGGAAUCUAGGUUGUAAAGAAUCUAAGGACCAUGAACAUAAUAAGAAACCUUAGGUGCUACCUGCCCACUACAAAAUGCCCAGUCAGAAGAAGGAUGAGAUAGAUAUCCAGGUUCAGGGGACUUUAUUGGAAGAAGAUGUCCACACACAUCACAUUCAUCUGACCACUCAUGGUUCAGGAAACUGAGAAUGAUGUCUAGUGAGAAUGAACAUAAACUAUGUUUUUUCUUUUUUACCAGGUAAGUUGACUGGGAACACAUUCUCAUUUACACACACUCUCUGAAAGGAAAGAGGAGUAAGAAAACGUAUAGCACUGCUAUAAUAUGAAUGACAUGUGUGUAAAAGCUAGCACAGGUAAGUGUAUAACAACAAGGGCUACACAGUACACUACAGCAGGCAUAAGGCCUAGUCACAUGGCAAUAGACUAAACAACCUACUGCACUUUUGUUGGAGGAGUUCUGUUACGGAUACAGUUAUCCUGUGUGUGUGUGUGUGUAUCCUGUGUGUGUUUCUUUUCUCUCCUUCUCCCCUCACAGGUGAAAACCAUCACUCCCCAAUCAGUCAACAGUCAAUCAUCAAU